rnacentral:ncRNA from 1 species
AUAUAUAUAUAUAUAUAUAUAUAUAUAUAUAUAUAUAUAUAAUUAAUWUUUAUUAAUAUUAUAWAAUUAAAAAUAUUAAUAGAUAUUUUUAUGGAUUUUUAAAAAGUUUGAUUUUGGUUUUGAAAUUUAUUUAAUUAUUUUUUUGCAUGUAAGUUUUUGUGAGAUUUUAUGAAUUUUUUAAGAAAAUUAAUAAUUGUUUAAUGAUUUAUAAUUAAUAUAUAUAUAUAUAUAUAUAUAUAUUUAGAAUUAAUUUAUAUUUGCAGCAUUUAAUUUUAAUUAUUAAGGAGAUUUAGAAUUAUAAAUAAUUUUAAUAUAGGCAAAAAUUGUGCCAGCAGUUGCGGUUAUACAAUUUAUAUAAAUAAAUUUUUUUGAAUUUAGAUUAUAAGAAAAUUUUAUUAUUAUUUAAAAAUUUGGUAUUAAAAUUAAGUGAAAUUUUUUUUAUUUUUAAUUAAAUUUAAUAAAUAUUUAUGUUCUAUUUAAUCUUAAUAAUAAACUAGGAUUAGAUACCCUAUUAUUUAAGAUGAAAAAAAGAUCUUUAAAGGAGUAAAUAUUAUUUUUAAACUUAAAAAAAUUGACGGUAUUUAAAACUAAUUAGGGGAACUUGUUUUUUUAUUGAUAAUCCUCAAGGUACCUUACUUUAAUUUAUUUAAUUUAUUUAUUGUCGUUAUCAGAAUAUUUUUUAAGAAAUUUAAUUUUCAAGAUAUUUAUUAAUAAAAUUUUAUUUCAGAUCAUGAUGUAGUUUAUAUUAAAGUUAAAAUGAGUUACAAUAUUUUUUUAUAGUUGGAUAAUAAAUUGAAAUAUUUGUUUGAAAUUGGACUUAAUAGUAAAAAAUAAUAUUAAUUUUUUUUGAAAAUUGAAGAAUUAAAUAUGUACAUAUCGCCCGUCACUCUCGUUCUAAAAUGAGAUAAGUCGUAACAAAGUAGAAUUACUGGAAAGUGUUUCUAGAAAGGUAAU